UACGAAGGGAGCUAGCGUUGUUCGGAAUCACUGGGCGUAAAGCGCACGUAGGCGGAUGUGUCAGUCAGGGGUGAAAUCCCGGAGCUCAACUUCGGAACUGCCUUUGAUACAGCACGUCUUGAGUCCGAUAGAGGUGGGUGGAAUUCCUAGUGUAGAGGUGAAAUUCGUAGAUAUUAGGAAGAACACCCGUGGCGAAGGCGGCCAUCUGGACCAGCACUGACGCUGAGGCACGAAAGCCAGGGGAGCAAACGGG
rnacentral:rRNA from 1 species